rnacentral:lncRNA from 1 species
AGCUUUUUUUGCAAUUGGCCCCCUAAAAAAAAAUUUAUUUUAAAAAUAGCCCAAACAAAUUUAUAAUUACAAAUAUGGCCCUAUACCUGCCACGUAGGCGUCAUGUCAGCGCCACGUAAGCGGAGCGGGGGUCAGGGUGUUGAGUUGAAUACGGUGAAUCAUUUACUGCGUCUGGAUAAGGUGAAUGAUUCACCAUGUUCAGUUAUUUAUACACCCACACGAAAGCGGUAUAUAGUAUACUAAACGCGGUGAAUGGAUCACCGCACUUGAACACGUUGAAAAAUUCACCGUGUUUAGAUACGGUGAAUAGUUUACCGUGUCUAAACACUGUGAACCAUUCACCGUGUUCAGUAGAAAUCCAACUCCCUAAGCACAGAAUUCAGCACAACAAUACAACAAAUUCAAUAUCAACAAUACAACAAAUUCAACAUCAACAAACACAUCAACAAUCCAACACAAUAAUAUAACGACAAAUCCAACACAACAAUAAAUCGAACACAACAUCAAUAGAACAUCAAUACCAUAUCAUCACAACAAAAUAUCAAAAAAUAGAGCAAGUUUUUUAAUAAUAUAGAAAUUUUUGUUUAAUUUAAAAUUUAUAAAAAUAUAACAUCAUAUUCUCUUUCUAGUCUCUCGACCACGUCUACCUACACAUCCCCUACCAUGACCCUGACCACGAUCAACACUAUGCUCAUCGAAGGACUCUGUGACUUCCAACUAGUCAAGAUGUUCUGUCACGCC